rnacentral:ncRNA from 1 species
CAACAUGAGAGUUUGAUCCUGGCUCAGAACGAACGCUGGCGGCAGGCUUAACACAUGCAAGUCGAGCGCCCCGCAAGGGGAGCGGCAGACGGGUGAGUAACGCGUGGGAACGUACCCUUUACUACGGAAUAACGCAGGGAAACUUGUGCUAAUACCGUAUGUGCCCUUCGGGGGAAAGAUUUAUCGGUAAGGGAUCGGCCCGCGUUGGAUUAGCUAGUUGGUGGGGUAAAGGCCUACCAAGGCGACGAUCCAUAGCUGGUCUGAGAGGAUGAUCAGCCACAUUGGGACUGAGA